rnacentral:rRNA from 1 species
UACAGAGGGGGCAAGCGUUGUUCGGAAUUACUGGGCGUAAAGGGCGCGUAGGCGGCCUGUUAAGUCGAACGUGAAAUCCCCGGGCUCAACCCGGGAACUGCGUCCGAAACUGGCAGGCUUGAAUCCGGGAGAGGGAUGUGGAAUUCCAGGUGUAGCGGUGAAAUGCGUAGAUAUCGGGAGGAACACCAGAGGCGAAGGCGGGUCACUGGGCUGAUACUGACGCUGAUGCGCGAAAGCCAGGGGAGCAAACGGG